CCCAGACUCCUACGGGAGGCAGCAGUGGGGAAUAUUGCACAAUGGGGGAAACCCUGAUGCAGCAACGCCGCGUGAAGGAAGACGGUUUUCGGAUUGUAAACUUCUGUUCUUAGUGAAGAAGAAUGACGGUAGCUAAGGAGCAAGCCACGGCUAACUACGUGCCAGCAGCCGCGGUAAUACGUAGGGGGCAAGCGUUAUCCGGAUUUACUGGGUGUAAAGGGAGCGUAGACGGCGCUGCAAGUCCGGAGUGAAAGUCCAUGGCUUAACCAUGGUACUGCUCUGGAAACUGUGGAGCUUGAGUGCGGGAGGGGCAGGCGGAAUUCCUAGUGUAGCGGUGAAAUGCGUAGAUAUUAGGAGGAACACCGGCGGCAAAGGCGGCCUGCUGGACCGUAACUGACGUUGAGGCUCGAAAGCGUGGGGAGCAAACAGGAUUAGAUACCCUCGUAC
rnacentral:rRNA from 1 species